GGCAGGUUAAGACAUGGGGAAAAAACAGCUCAGGAUUUAAAAGCCUUGUUCGUCCAUAGGUGCCAGUAGACCACUGUAUCUUGGGAUGGAGAUAAGCUUCUUUGUGUACAGAACGGAGAAAAAGAAGGUCGUGGUUGGACCCAGUGGAUUGAAGGAGAUGAAAUGCACCUGGAAAUAAGAGUGUGUGGAGUCAAGUGUAAGCAGGUCUUUAAGAAGGUGCAGUGAGCCUACUGCUGAUACAGAAGUGAAGAACAGUAGAAUUUACAAACUUACCAGCAAAUGUCCAAAUGCAGUAAUGAACAUCAUCAGUGACAAGAGCAAACACAGAAAUGAAGAUUACACUAGAACUGUAUAGUUAGAAUAAAAUAUUUUUAACAAAUCAUUUUAAAGAAAUAACUGCAAAUAAAACUAUUUUUAGAAAUGCC
rnacentral:lncRNA from 1 species